rnacentral:rRNA from 1 species
AGGACGAACGCUGGCGGCGUGCUUAACACAUGCAAGUCGAGCGGUAAGGCCUUUCGGGGUACACGAGCGGCGAACGGGUGAGUAACACGUGGGUGAUCUGCCCUGCACUCUGGGAUAAGCCUGGGAAACUGGGUCUAAUACCGGAUAUGACCUGCUCUCGCAUGGGGGUGGGUGGAAAGAUUUAUCGGUGCAGGAUGGGCCCGCGGCCUAUCAGCUUGUUGGUGGGGUAAUGGCCUACCAAGGCGACGACGGGUAGCCGGCCUGAGAGGGUGACCGGCCACACUGGGACUGAGACACGGCCCAGACUCCUACGGGAGGCAGCAGUGGGGAAUAUUGCACAGUGGGCGAAAGCCUGAUGCAGCGACGCCGCGUGAGGGAUGAAGGCCUUCGGGUUGUAAACCGUCUCUCAAGCAGGAACGAAGCGCAAGUGACGGUACCUAGCAAGAAGAACGCAACCGGCCUAAACUACGUGCCAAGCAGCCCGAC